rnacentral:rRNA from 1 species
UACAGAGGGUGCGAGCGUUAAUCGGAAUUACUGGGCGUAAAGCGCACGUAGGCGGAUUGGAAAGUUGGGGGUGAAAUCCCGGGGCUCAACCCCCGGAACUGCCUUCAAAACUCCCAGUCUGGAGGUCGAGAGAGGUGAGUGGAAUUCCGAGUGUAGAGGUGAAAUUCGUAGAUAUUAGGAAGAACACCGGUGGCGAAGGCGGCCCACUGGCUCGACACUGACGCUGAGGUGCGAAAGCGUGGGGAGCAAACAGG